AUUUCUUCGGACUACUUACAAGGUGCUGCAUGGCUGUCGUCAGCUCGUGUCGUGAGAUGUUGGGUUAAGUCCCGCAACGAGCGCAACCCUUAUCCCUAGUUGCCAUCAGGUAAAGCUGGGAACUCUGGGGAGACUGCCGGUGAUAAACCGGAGGAAGGCGGGGAUGACGUCAAGUCCUCAUGGCCCUUACAUCCCGGGCUACACACGUGCUACAAUGGCAGGUACAGAGGGCUGCGAAGCCGCGAGGUGGAGCGAAUCCCAGAAAACCUGUCUCAGUCCGGAUUGAAGUCUGCAACUCGACUUCGUGAAGGCGGAAUCGCUAGUAACCGCGAAUCAGCAGGUCGCGGUGAAUACGUUCCCGGGCCUU
rnacentral:rRNA from 1 species